rnacentral:rRNA from 1 species
GAUGAACGCUGGCGGCGUGCCUAAUACAUGCAAGUCGAGCGAACAGACGAGGAGCUUGCUCCUCUGACGUUAGCGGCGGACGGGUGAGUAACACGUGGAUAACCUACCUAUAAGACUGGGAUAACUUCGGGAAACCGGAGCUAAUACCGGAUAAUAUAUUUAACCGCAUGGUUCAAUAGUGAAAGACGGUUUUGCUGUCACUUAUAGAUGGAUCCGCGCCGCAUUAGCUAGUUGGUAAGGUAACGGCUUACUAAGGCAACGAUGCGUAGCCGACCUGAGAGGGUGAUCGGACACACUGGAACUGAGACACGGUCCAGACUCCUACGGGAGGCAGCAGUAGGGAAUCUUCCGCAAUGGGCGAAAGCCUGACGGAGCAACGCCGCGUGAGUGAUGAAGGUCUUCGGAUCGUAAAACUCUGUUAUUAGGGAAGAACAAAUGUGUAAGUAACUAUGCACGUCUUGACGGUACCUAAUCAGAAAGCCACGGCUAACUACGUG